rnacentral:rRNA from 1 species
UACGGAGGAUUCAAGCGUUAUCCGGAUUUAUUGGGUUUAAAGGGUGCGUAGGCGGUCGGAUAAGUUAGAGGUGAAGUCCCGGGGCUCAACUUCGGAAUUGCCUCUGAUACUGUUCGGCUAGAGAGUAGUUGCGGUAGGCGGAAUGUAUGGUGUAGCGGUGAAAUGCUUAGAGAUCAUACAGAACACCGAUUGCGAAGGCAGCUUACCAAGCUACUUCUGACGUUGAGGCACGAAAGCGUGGGGAGCAAACAGG